AACGCACAUUGCGCCCAUUAGUAUUCUAGUGGGCAUGCCUGUUCGAGCGUCAUUUCAACCCUCAAGCAGUUAUUUUAUGCUUGGUGUUGGGGUUUUCCGCGGUGCUUCAAGCCUGCGGGCCCUGAAAUUUAGUGGCGGGCUUACUGAGAACCCGAGCGCAGUAAUUUUUCUCGCUUAGGGCGUCACAGUGAGUUCCUUGCCGUAAAACCCCCACUAUAACAUAUGGUUGACCUCGGAUCAGGUAGGAAUACCCGCUGAACUUAA
rnacentral:misc_RNA from 1 species